GGGGUGGAGAUGAGAUCCAGGGGGUGGAGAUGGGUAGGUUCAGGGGUGGAGAUGGGAUCCAGGGGGUGGAGAUGGGUAGGUUUAGGGGUGGAGAUGAGAUCCAGGGGGUGGAGAUGGGUAGGUUCAGGGGUGGAGAUGGGAUCCAGGGGGUGGACAUGGGUAGGUUCAGGGGUGGAGAUGGGAUCCAGGGGGUGGAGAUGGGUAGGUUCAGGGGUGGAGAUGGGAUCCAGGGGGUGGAGAUGGGUAGGUUCAGGGGUGGAGAUGGGAUCCAGGGGGUGGAGAUGGGUAGGUUCAGGGGUGGAGAUGGGAUCCAGGGGGUGGAGAUGGGUAGGUUCAGGGGUGGAGAUGGGAUCCAGGGGGUGGAGAUGGGUAGGUUUAGGGGUGGAGAUGGGAUCCAGGGGGUGGAGAUGGGUAGGUUUAGGGGUGGAGAUGGGAUCCAGGGGUGGAAAUGGUUAGGUAUAGG
ensembl:lncRNA